AUGAAGAGGCGCAAGGGCAACGACCCGGCGGAGAUGCCGCCCGACGGGGUCGUGCUGCCCGACGAGCUCAUCGCUGAGGUCUUGCUGCGCCUGCCGGCCAGGUCCGUCCUCCGGUUCCGCGCCGUCUGCCGCGCCUGGUCCGCGCUUCUCCGGUCUCCCGGUUUCAAGGACGCCUACGCCGCCGCGGCAGCCGCCCGCAGGAACAGCAAGUUCGUCUUCUUCGCGCCGGCGGGCGUCUACGGCUGCUCGCUGCAGGGCAGCGACGCGCUCUUCACCGUCGACGGCCGCCGGCUGCACCCCGACUUCCUAUGCGUGUCGACGAUGCCAUGCCGCGGCCUCCUCCUCUUCUCGGACGCUCGUCGUUACGGGGCUUACUGGGUGUGCAACCCAAGCACCGGGGAGUGCAGGCGCCUGCCGCUGACGACGUGUCGUCGCCCCAACUACUCGAGCGCUGGCCUGGUCUUUGACAACCAGACCAAGGAGUGCAAAGUUGUUCAUCUAUUUCACCAUGGACAUGUCAACAUCUCGUGCGAGGUUUACACCUUGUCUGGCCCAAAUCGCCGGUGGAGGCCGGCCGCCGGCGGGGGCCACAACAUGCCGCUGCCUCUCCAGAGGCCGGCGAUGAAGUGCAUGCAGAUUCAUGACACCGUGACCAAGAUGCCUCCCGUGUUUGCCGGUGGAUAUCUGCACUGGUUGCUCUACCCCAACCGCCAAAGCCUUGUCCCGGGGCCUUCUAGGGCUGCGGUCCUUCACUUCUCGGUCUCCCACGAAACGUUCGACAUAGCAAAUGCACCUGUACUAAGCGAGCAUGUCGCAGCAGAGUGCAGGGAGCUGGAGGAGCAUUUACCGCCGGUCCCAAUUCACCUCGCGGAGCUUCAAGGCUCCCUCUGCAUGGUCCAUGACAGCCGACACGCCGGAAGCUGCCUGGAUAUCUGGGUGAUGAGGGAUCACGAAACCAUGGAGUGGUCGCUAUACUGUCAAAUACCACUCUUGUCACUGUCACGUGAUGUACCUAGCCCUCGGUUCAUCACCAUCCUAGGCUUGUGCCCUGGGAAAGGGGAGAGGAGGAUAAUGCUGGCUACCUCCCGGCACACGGUUCAUUCUUUCUGCCUCGAAACAGGGGAUGCCAAGACAAUGCUCUCUGUUGCUGAGACGGCCAUUGGUUGCCGGAACGAAGCUGUCGCUGCUCUUCAGCUGGCUCUCUAUGAGGACAGCCUAGUCCGCAUAGGGGACGAGGACGAGGAGAAGGAGGAGCAAGUGUUGUCCACAGCUUUGACCAUGGCCCUAGUGCGGCUUCCAGUCAGAUCAAUCGUUCAAUCCAUGCUGGUCUGCAGGCAGUGGUGCACAGUGAUUGAGAGCGAGAGCUUUGUUCAAUCGCACAUGUCCAUGAGCAUGAGCAGGCCGAGGAGGGUAUGUAUGGUCACGGAUGGUCGUUCCCGAUGCGACUUGUUUGGUUUCACGCCUAUGGAGAGCUGGCUUCAGCAGCAGCAUGAUAGUUCAAACACUCCUCUCAGGGACAAGAUCAUCUGCUCCAAGCCUUGCCAUGGGCUCAACUUGAUAAGCACGGGCAGUGGCGAUGACUACAUGUGCAAUCCUUGCACUGGCUCCAUGGUGUGCCUAGGACACCGUGGCAGCCUAGUGUGCCAUCGACAAGGCAGCAGCAAAACUAAAACUAAUAGCUGUGCCAACAACGGCUUCACCGAUGGCAGGAACGUCGGGCUAGGGUUUGAUGAGUCAAGAGGAGAGCAUGUUGCAGUCGAAAUUGGGCACCACUACUUGAACAACGGCUCCUUGGCAUGCAUGGUCAAAACUGGGAGCAGAGAUGUCUGGGCUUUUGUUGGGGAACCACCGGUGGCAGUGUCUGCUAUGCCUCCUGCACAUAUCAGCGGGACAUUAUACUGGCUGAGUAAGCAGACUAUUCGGCCAUGUGACGAACGUGUUGUUGUGGCGUUCGACAUCUCCGCCAGAGCAUUCACCACCCUCCCAUGCCACCCAUGUCAAAGAUGCGAGCACGACGCUUUCCUUGUGGAGCUGAACGGAAUGCUUUCACUUGUGGUUGCAGAUAAAGAGGCAGACGAGCUUGAUGUAUGGGUGAUGAUGCACAAGCAGCACGGCACGUGGGGGAAGGCUCUGAAGAUAUGUCUACGGAAUCAGCAGCCUACUAAUUAUUAUUCACUCAAAACAGGCCGGGUGGUAGUGCCGCUGCAAAUCGACAACGAACAAGGCAAGAUCCUGCUCAGGACGGGACGUGCACUAGGUUAUUACCAUCUCAAGAACGAAACGAUCGAGACGGUCUACUCUGGAGACGAGCUGCUGUUCCCCAUGCUGUACGAGGAGAGCUUGGUCUGCGUCCCGGACGACGAGCUGCUCGACGACCACCACGCCGCAGCACCCACCACCGUUGGACACCAAGGAUCAACCAGCAGCAGGUCCAUAUUCCAGGGGUGUGAGAAGAGCAGAUGCCAGGGCAUCGCCGCUGUCUACAGAAGGUGCUGCAGGAGGGUGUUAUGCGUGGUGUGCGCGGGUGCAUGCCGCGAGCACUCCCGGGAUCAGCCUGUCGUCCUCCCUACCAGGUGGCUCCAGGACGUGCUCGCAGAACUGGCUGAUCUAGGACUGCCUCUCCAUCACCCCUUUGUGCCAGCCGCUGACUACUGCUACUACUAUUCGACCAAGAGCGCUGACGGCGAGACGGCGUGCCAUGUCUUUGUGUCCGUCAAGGAUUACGCGAGAAAGAGGCAGCCGUGCCAUCUGGUGGAGUGUGGCUACAGGAUGGAAGGGCAGGUCAUCAGGGAGACUUGGGUUCGCAGAUAUCGCGCCGAUGACGCUAGUCGCUAG
rnacentral:rRNA from 1 species